GAUGAAGAACGCAGCGAAAUGCGAUACGUAAUGUGAAUUGCAGAAUUCAGUGAAUCAUCGAAUCUUUGAACGCACAUUGCACUCUCUGGUAUUCCGGAGAGUAUGCUUGUUUGAGUAUCAGUAAACACCUCAAAUCUCUUGUUUCUUGUGAAUAAGAGAAUUGGACUUGAGCAAUCCCAACUCUUGCAAAAGAGGCGGGUUGCUUGAAAUGCAGGUGCAGCUGGACAUUCUUCUGGGGUGAGGGGAUGUUUAUUUAGUCCCGUAAAACGGAUUAUUACUUUUGCUGCAGCUAACAUAAAGGUUGAAUGGCCAAUAUGGCUGACUGAUGCAGGAUUAACAGAGAAUUUAUUCUUUGUAAACUCGAUCUCAAAUCAAGUAAGACUACCCGCUGAACUUAAGCAUAUCAAUAAGCGGAGGA
rnacentral:misc_RNA from 1 species